UGGGGAGUACGGUCGCAAGACUAAAACUCAAAGGAAUUGACGGGGGUCCGCACAAGCGGUGGAACAUGUGGUUUAAUUCGACAAUACGCGAGGAACCUUACCUGGGUUUGACAUGUACGAGACCGCUGUAGAAAUAUGGUUUUCCAAGAGUAAUCUUGGACUGGUACACAGGUGCUGCAUGGCUGUCGUCAGCUCGUGUCGUGAGAUGUUGGGUUAAGUCCUCUAACGAGCGCAACUCUUACUGUCAGUUGCUAUCCUUCGGGAGCACUCUGACGGGACUGCCUGGGAAACCAGGAGGAAGGUGGGAACGACGUCAAGUCAUCAUGGUCCUUAUGCCCAGGGCUACACACGUGUUACAAUGGUCGGUACAACGGGCUGCAAGCUGGUAACAGUAAGCUAAUCCCUUUAAAGCCGAUCUAAGUUCGGAUUGAGGUCUGCAACUCGACCUCAUGAAGUUGAAAUCGCUAGUAAUCGCGCAUCAGCAACGGCGCGGUGAAUACGUUCUCGGGCCUUGUACACACCGCCCGUCACGCCAUGAAAGCUGUCUGUGCCCGAAAUUACCUUAGCUAACUCGUAAGAGAGGCGGGUGCCUAAGGCAUGGGGAGUGAUUGGGGCGAAGUCGUAACAAGGUAGCUGUAGGAGAACCUGCGGCUGGAUCACCUCCUUUAUG
rnacentral:rRNA from 1 species